GGUUGCAUAGUGUAGUGGUUAGCACACCAGACUUUGACGUCCCUGAUAACCCCGCACGGGACGAAGGAAUCUGGUAACCCGAGUUCGAAUCUCGGUGCGACCU